rnacentral:lncRNA from 1 species
GGUUGGCAAGUAUAUUCAACCCUUUAUUUCUCCACGUAGAACCAAUGUUAGGUAGACUCCACUAUGCUGUCACUCUUUGAUAUGUUGGCAAUUGUCCUUUGUACAUUCAUACGCUCUUCAUACUCUUCUUCACUGCAGAAAGAAAAAAAAACCUUCAUCUUUAGGAUGACACAUUCACCUAUUAGAACCAAUAAAGCAUGUUCAGCAGCUUCCCCAGCUACAUUAUCUUCUUCCUGAAUCCUGAUUAAACAGCUACUGAGCUCACUAUCUACGUGGAAAUUAAUAUAAGCCCACCAAUAGAAGAGGAAGGAUAAAAACAAGCAACCUUGGAUUUGGCUUGCAGGUUGCAAUAUGUGUCAAUUCAAAUACUUCAACAAUUUUCAGCAAACAAUGUCUAAAUCUGUUUGUUGUUUUCAUGUAAGCAAAAUCACGUCCCCAAUUUAAAGAAAGAAAAAGAAAAGAGGAACCAUUUAUAUAAAUGCACUGCCUACACACCAGAAAAAGGAAAAGGCAUGUAAUGAACUAAUUCAAGGCUUGAAGAUAUCAGAAUUAUAGAAAAUGCUCAGUUCUCAGAUGGAAUUAGGUGUUCAAAAUCUGCAUACAGAAGAAUGGAUUAUUGUGCAUGGAUCCUGUGAGUUAAAGUGGUAGUCACAAAGAUGGAUUGCAAAGUGAAGAUAAAAAGAAACUGAUUGUGAAAGCUCAUUCAAAGAGAUGCAACAAAAUGGACUGGAAACAUCUCCAAUAAAACAUCAAAAAACAUGUAAAAUACCUUGUAAAAUGUUGAUAGGCCCUAUACAUGGCCAGCAUAAUGAUUGAAUGCAGACACCACCAUCGGUCUUGAAGCU